rnacentral:rRNA from 10 species
GUUGUAUGGUUAAGUGACUAAGCGUACACGGUGGAUGCCUUGGCAGUCAGAGGCGAUGAAAGACGUAGUAACUUGCGAUAAGCCCAGAUUAGGUAGUAACAACCAUUUGAGUCUGGGAUUUCUGAAUGGGGAAACCCACGUGCAUAAGCACGUAUCCUUACCUGAAUACAUAGGGUAAGGAGGCGAACCGGGGGAACUGAAACAUCUAAGUACCCCGAGGAAAAGAAAUCAACCGAGAUUCCGAAAGUAGCGGCGAGCGAAAUUGGACUAGCCCUUAAGCUUUACACGCGUUAGACGAACGGUCUGGAAAGUCCGACGAUACAGGGUGAUAGUCCCGUAGUUGACGACGUGUGUUCAGUGAAAUCGAGUAGGGCGGGACACGUGAUAUCCUGUCUGAAUAUGGGGGGACCAUCCUCCAAGGCUAAAUACUACUGACUGACCGAUAGUGAACCAGUACCGUGAGGGAAAGGCGAAAAGAACCCCUGUGAGGGGAGUGAAAUAGAACCUGAAACCGUGUACGUACAAGCAGUAGGAGCAGGCUUUGUCCUGUGACUGCGUACCUUUUGUAUAAUGGGUCAGCGACUUAUAUUCAGUGGCAAGGUUAACCAUCUAGGGGAGCCGUAGGGAAACCGAGUCUUAACUGGGCGUUCAGUCUCUGGAUAUAGACCCGAAACCAGGUGAUCUAGCCAUGGGCAGGUUGAAGGUUGAGUAACAUCAACUGGAGGACCGAACCGACUAAUGUUGAAAAAUUAGCGGAUGACUUGUGGCUAGGGGUGAAAGGCCAAUCAAACCUGGAGAUAGCUGGUUCUCCCCGAAAGCUAUUUAGGUAGCGCCUCGGACGAAUACUACUGGGGGUAGAGCACUGUUAAGGCUAGGGGGUCAUCCCGACUUACCAACCCUUUGCAAACUCCGAAUACCAGUAAGUACUAUCCGGGAGACACACGGCGGGUGCUAACGUCCGUCGUGGAGAGGGAAACAACCCAGACCGCCAGCUAAGGUCCCAAAUUACUACUAAGUGGGAAACGAUGUGGGAAGGCUCAGACAGCCAGGAUGUUGGCUUAGAAGCAGCCAUCAUUUAAAGAAAGCGUAAUAGCUCACUGGUCGAGUCGGCCUGCGCGGAAGAUGUAACGGGGCUAAGUAGUAAACCGAAGCUGCGGCAAUAUACUUUUGUAUAUUGGGUAGGGGAGCGUUCUGUAAGCGGUUGAAGGUGUGUGGUAACGCAUGCUGGACGUAUCAGAAGUGCGAAUGCUGACAUGAGUAACGAUAAAGGGGGUGAAAAACCUCCUCGCCGGAAGACCAAGGGUUCCUGUCCAACGUUAAUCGGGGCAGGGUAAGUCGACCCCUAAGGCGAGGCCGAAAGGCGUAGUCGAUGGGAAACGGGUUAAUAUUCCCGUACUUCUUACAAUUGCGAUGGGGGGACGGAGAAGGCUAGGUGGGCCUGGCGACGGUUGUCCAGGUUCAAGUGCGUAGGCUUAAGAGUUAGGUAAAUCCGGCUCUUUCUAAGGCUGAGACACGACGUCGAGCACCUACGGGUGUGAAGUCAUUGAUGCCAUGCUUCCAGGAAAAGCCUCUAAGCUUCAGAUUGUAAGGAAUCGUACCCCAAACCGACACAGGUGGUCGGGUAGAGAAUACCAAGGCGCUUGAGAGAACUCGGGUGAAGGAACUAGGCAAAAUGGUACCGUAACUUCGGGAGAAGGUACGCUCUUGAUGGUGAAGUCCCUUGCGGAUGGAGCUGACGAGAGUCGCAGAUACCAGGUGGCUGCAACUGUUUAUUAAAAACACAGCACUGUGCAAAAUCGUAAGAUGACGUAUACGGUGUGACGCCUGCCCGGUGCCGGAAGGUUAAUUGAUGGGGUUAGACUUCGGUCGAAGCUCUUGAUCGAAGCCCCGGUAAACGGCGGCCGUAACUAUAACGGUCCUAAGGUAGCGAAAUUCCUUGUCGGGUAAGUUCCGACCUGCACGAAUGGCGUAAUGAUGGCCACGCUGUCUCCACCCGAGACUCAGUGAAAUUGAAAUCGCUGUGAAGAUGCAGUGUACCCGCGGCUAGACGGAAAGACCCCGUGAACCUUUACUACAGCUUGGCACUGAACAUUGACCCUACAUGUGUAGGAUAGGUGGGAGGCUUUGAAGCACGUACGCCAGUAUGUGUGGAGCCGUCCUUGAAAUACCACCCUUGUAGUGUUGAUGUUCUAACGUCGACCCCUUAUCGGGGUUGCGGACAGUGCCUGGUGGGUAGUUUGACUGGGGCGGUCUCCUCCCAAAGAGUAACGGAGGAGCACGAAGGUGGGCUAAUCACGGUUGGACAUCGUGAGGUUAGUGCAAUGGCAUAAGCCCGCUUGACUGCGAGAAUGACAAUUCGAGCAGGUGCGAAAGCAGGUCAUAGUGAUCCGGUGGUUCUGAAUGGAAGGGCCAUCGCUCAACGGAUAAAAGGUACUCCGGGGAUAACAGGCUGAUACCGCCCAAGAGUUCAUAUCGACGGCGGUGUUUGGCACCUCGAUGUCGGCUCAUCACAUCCUGGGGCUGAAGUCGGUCCCAAGGGUAUGGCUGUUCGCCAUUUAAAGUGGUACGCGAGCUGGGUUUAGAACGUCGUGAGACAGUUCGGUCCCUAUCUGCCGUGGGCGUUGGAAGAUUGAAGGGGGCUGCUCCUAGUACGAGAGGACCGGAGUGGACGAACCUCUGGUGUUCGGGUUGUGUCGCCAGACGCAUUGCCCGGUAGCUAAGUUCGGAAUCGAUAACCGCUGAAAGCAUCUAAGCGGGAAGCGAGCCCUGAGAUGAGUCUUCCCUGAUACUUUAAGUAUCCUAAAGGGUUGUCGGAGACUACGACGUUGAUAGGUCAGGUGUGUAAGUGCUGUGAGGCAUUGAGCUAACUGAUACUAAUUGCCCGUGAGGCUUAACCAUACAACACCCAAGGGGUUU